rnacentral:rRNA from 1 species
UACGGGGGGAGCAAGCGUUGUUCGGAUUUACUGGGCGUAAAGGGCGCGUAGGCGGCCACCGCAAGUCGAUUGUGAAAUCUCCGGGCUUAACCCGGAAAGGUCAACCGAUACUGCGGGGCUAGAGUGCAGAAGGGGCAACUGGAAUUCUCGGUGUAGCGGUGAAAUGCGUAGAUAUCGAGAGGAACACCUGCGGCGAAGGCGGAUCUCUGGGCAGUUCCUGACACUGAGGCACGAAGGCCAGGGGAGCAAACGGG